rnacentral:rRNA from 1 species
UAGGGAAUCUUCGGCAAUGGGGGGAACCCUGACCGAGCAACGCCGCGUGAGUGAAGAAGGUUUUCGGAUCGUAUAGCUCUGUUGUUAAGGAAGAACGAGUGUGAGAAUGGAAAGUUCAUGCUGUGACGGUACUUAACCAGAAAGGGACGGCUAACUACGUGCCAGCAGCCGCGGUAAUACGUAGGUCCCGAGCGUUGUCCGGAUUUAUUGGGCGUAAAGCGAGCGCAGGCGGUUAGAAAAGUCUGAUGUGAAAGCCCCCGGCUCAACCGGGGAGGGUCAUUGGAAACUGGUUGACUUGAGUGCAGAAGAGGAGAGUGGAAUUCCAUGUGUAGCGGUGAAAUGCGUAGAUAUAUGGAGGAACACCAGUGGCGAAGGCGACUCUCUGGUCUGUAACUGACGCUGAGGCUCGAAAGCGUGGGUAGCAAACAGG